ACAUUAUGUGCACAGUCACGGGAGCAUGACAAGACAUGACUCCUUCUGGAAAUUGUUCAGAGUCUGGCUUGCAGACAAGGUACAGAUGGAAAUCUUCCUGGACUCAGGCCAAGAAGAGGAGAAAGGCCCUGUGCCCAUCCUGCUGUGAUUCAGGAGUCUCGCAGAAGACAUCAGAAUGCCUUUCUCUGAGUCACAGUCUGUAUCUUCUAGAAAAGGCUGUCCAUCUUCACCCCAAGCCCACUGGCUCCUGAGAUACGACAUCCAGACCCAGUGCAGCUGGACCUGGCCCAGGAAAAGAAAUACAAGUCCUUCCGCCUUGGCAAAGAUGAUAGUACCGUUCCCUUCAGUGUUCCGGUUCUGCUCUAUUGGAUAAGUUCCGGUUUGACUAUGACUACGUGAAAAUGUGGAACCAGACCUUCACCCCACAUUCCAGCUCCAGCUCUACCACAGAGGAAGUGCAAUAUCACCUUAGUUAUUCAACACAUUAUGCUCCUCGUGAUACAACCAGAGUUCACAUCAGCAAUCUUGGCAGCUCUCACCACGCUGCUGACUCACGACUCUCUCAUGUCCCAAUUUCCUGUCCAUUGUUCUUUCCUCUACUUGGCCUGAUUUCUAAAGGCCUCUCUUGGUUGCAUUAAGCGGGAUUCCUGAGGGAUUCCCUUGGCAGUUACCUUGGGGGAGCUCUUAGGUUUGGGGCUGAUCCAUGUCCUCUAAAUGUAGGACUUCAAAGCUCCCAAAGAUAGGCAGGCCCAGUGGGAAGCUGGGAAAUGCUCUCUGACCCCUCUGGGAGGGCUGGCAGUCAGAGGGCCUUUUGGAAAGAGUCAGACCUGAUCCAUAAGUCCCUGGAAAACACCCUGCCCAGGGAGCAAAUGCCACUGUGGCCUUGACUGAGGCUUCAGAAGAGUUUGGGAGCUGCAAUUCAUCCACACACGCAUUCAUUUUCAAGUAGUGGUUUGCAGUUCAGGCUUUGGAGCCACAUAAGCCUGGCUUCAAAGCCACUUUCCAGCUUUGUAGGAAGUCUCUACAUUUUUAAACCUCCAUUUUUUUUUCCUGUAAAACUGGGGUCUUCAUGGUACUUAACUUCAUCGUGAUGUUGAGAGAAUGAAAAGAAAAAGGAUAAAUAAAUGGCUUAGCCUCGUGCCUUGGCA
rnacentral:lncRNA from 1 species